UACCAGCACCCCGAGUGGUCGGGACGUUUAUUGGGCCUAAAGCAUCCGUAGCCGGUUCUACAAGUCUUCCGUUAAAUCCACCUGCUUAACAGAUGGGCUGCGGAAGAUACUAUAGAGCUAGGAGGCGGGAGAGGCAAGCGGUACUCGAUGGGUAGGGGUAAAAUCCGUUGAUCCAUUGAAGACCACCAGUGGCGAAGGCGGCUCGCUGGGCCGGUCCUGACACUGAGACGCGAAGGCGUGGGGAGCGAACGGG
rnacentral:rRNA from 1 species